rnacentral:rRNA from 1 species
UAGUCGUGCGUCUCUAGCCAUGUUGGAGGCGCGGCANNNNGCUCAGUAACACGUGGCUAACCUGCCCUUGGGACGGAAACAACCCCGGGAAACUGGGGCUAAUUUCCGAUAGGUGGAGACUCCUGGAAUGGAUCUCUACUCAAAAGACACUUAGGCCAUGCUUCUAGGUGUUGCCCAAGGAUGGGGCCGCGGCCGAUCAGGUUGUUGGUGAGGUAACGGCUCACCAAGCCUUUAACCGGUACGGGCCGUGAGAGCGGUAGCCCGGAGAUGGGAACUGAGACAAGGCCCCAGGCCCUACGGGGCGCAGCAGUCGCGAAAACUUCGCAAUACACGAAAGUGUGACGAGGCCAUCCCGAGUGCCAUCCGCUGAGGAUGGCUUUUCCCCAGUGUAGAUAGCUGGGGGAAUAAGGAGAGGGCAAGUCUGGUGUCAGCCGCCGCGGUAAUACCAGCUCUUCGAGUGGUGGGGACGCUUAUUGGGCCUAAAGCAUCCGUAGCUGGCCAAACAAGUUCCCUGUUAAAUCCAGCGAUUUAAUCGUUGGACUGCGGGGAAUACUGCUUGGCUAGGGGGCGAGAGAGGCCGACGGUAUUUUCGGGG